AUCUGGCAAAGAGAUUUGCAGAGUGUCGGGUGACCGGCAAAGAGAUCUGCAAAGUGUCAGUUGAAGACAACGGGAGGGGUCGCAGAGGUAGCAACGACUGGAGUAUAACAUGAAGGAGAUCAUCUGGCAAAGAGAUUUGCAGAGUGUCGGGUGACCGGCAAAGAGAUCUGCAAAGUGUCAGUUGAAGAUGACGGGAGGGGUUGCAGAGGUAGCAACGACUGGAGUAUAACAUGAAGGAGAUCACCGUUUGGCAAAGUUCUGGUAAAGAAAUUUGCAGAGUGUCGGGUGACCGGCAAAGAGAUUUGCAAAGUGUCAGUUGAAGACGACGGGAGGGGUCGCAGAGGAAUUAGUGACUGGAGAAUAGCAUGCAGGAGUGGGUGAUCCCUGAAUAGCUGCCCUGGGAGGAGAGCUGCGGACACAUGCUCCAAAUGUUGGAACAUAUGCAUUACCUAUUAAGAGAUGCGGUAAAGAUGCCGGCUGUCGGGUUUACGUCAGUCAGAAUACUGACUCUGGGAUCCCGAAACUAUUCAGAAUCUCGACGUUGGAACUCCGAAUGGGCAAGGAUACCGACGCCCUUAUCUCCACGAUCAUAGGUUUAGGGCUGGGCAAGGGGGAUUAGGUUUAGGCAUC